UACAGAGGGGGCAAGCGUUGUUCGGAAUUACUGGGCGUAAAGGGCGCGUAGGCGGCCUUCUAAGUCGAACGUGAAAUCCCUGGGCUCAACCCAGGAACUGCGUCCGAUACUGGGAGGCUUGAAUCCGGGAGAGGGAUGCGGAAUUCCAGGUGUAGCGGUGAAAUGCGUAGAUAUCUGGAGGAACACCGGUGGCGAAGGCAGCUCGCUGGGACGGUACUGACGCUGAGACGCGAAAGCGUGGGGAGCAAACAGG
rnacentral:rRNA from 1 species